rnacentral:tRNA from 1 species
GCCCGCCUAGCUCAAUCGGAUAGAGCGUCAGACUUUUAUCUAGGCGAAUGGAUCUGAAGGCUGCGAGUUCGACCCUCGCGGUGGGCU